AUCAUCAAAGAAAAUAAUCUAAUAAUUUAACAAUGCCCUCCACAAUACUGAGCUACAACAUUGUCAGUUGUUCAAAGAAUCUUCCCUUCAAAGGUUUUAUUACAUUAACUAGCUGAUACACAAACACACAACUAAAUACAUAACACAGGCAAUAAAAGCCAGAACUGAAAAAAAAUAUGCCCCAGUGCUUGAUCCACCAUGACGCCUCUUGAGGGAACAAACAAAAUCUCAAAGGAAACAGAGAAAUGGUCAUAAAAGUAGCCAAUCUCACAAAGCCUCGUACCUAAACGCCAGAAGUAGGGCAGACUCCUCAUACGAUGGUGGGCAACAAUCAAGUAAUGCAGCUUUAUCAAUCGGACGAUCAAAAUCAACAUACUUUGCUCGAAGCGUGCCACAUAUUCACUUUAUAUCUUGAAUGGCAAACUCCCAGAGCUAGCCUUAUCAAGUUUUGUCUUCUUCAGAUUUAUUUUCUCUGAUGCGAUUUUCUAGAAAUAAUUUGGGCCACCAAAAUCAAUCUUAGCUUGCCUCACCUUUUUCCUCUUUCCCCAGUCAUAUUCGUCAUCCCUACAAUAUGAACAUAUAAUAUUGUAAAUUUUAAGAGAUAUGUGCUUAAAAGUAAAAACAUCAAGUGCUACCAAUCAAUGUUAGAGAAACAGAUCGCUACCAACUAUGUAAGCCAACAUAGUACAUGAUAUACCGCUCUAUUGCUGCCUUUCCCCUGACUAUCCAAAGAAAUGUCCAUGCUCAUCUUUCCCUAUUUAACUGUUUAUUUUGUUCUUACCCUCAUAUCUCAAUAGGCUUUAAUCGUCAAAGUAAUAACAAGAAAUGGGAUUUCCUAAUUGGCCCACAAUUACAUUCACAGCAAGUAAGAUACCUAAAAAUGAACCAUAUUAUUCAUGUCUACAAGCAUCAACUAUAGUAUCAUCAGAAAAGUCUAUUGAUUAGAAAUGGAGAGAAUCGAGAUGCAAAUGUUUCAUGACUUUCCAUGUCAACGCUAACCCUCAACCAUCAAACCAUACAAUACAUUUACCUAUCCAGCUUCCUUCACCAAUGAUAUCUUUGAUUGAAGUUCAUAACAACUAGUAUAUAUGAUUCUGUAGAAGUAUGACUAACAAUACUUCAACUUCAGCCUACCAAUCAUCCAGCACAUAACCAAUGUUGGUGUUCUCUGAACCAUUUGAUUCCGCUAUUAGAGAGGGAGAAAAAUCUAUCCCGUCCCAAUGCGCAAUUGCAAUCAAAAGGAAAGAAAAGGUAAAUGGAGAGCACCAAUUCAACAAAUUAUUUAGGAAGCACCACUACAAGUAAAAUUCACAAUCAGUAGAUCGAAGUAGGAACAAACCCAGAUGAGGAGAAGAAUCGAGCGAAGGAAACAAACCCAGAUGAGGAGAAGAAUCGAGCAGAGGAAACAAACCUAGAUUUUUCAUUGGCGGAUUUGAAGGUGCUGGAGAUUGUCG
rnacentral:lncRNA from 1 species